rnacentral:rRNA from 1 species
CUACGUAGGGGGCGAGCGUUGUCCGGAAUGAUUGGGCGUAAAGGGCGCGUAGGCGGCGCGGUAAGUCUGGAGUGAAAGUCCUGCUUUCAAGGUGGGAAUUGCUUUGGAUACUGCCGCGCUUGAGUGCAGGAGAGGUUAUCGGAAUUCCCGGUGUAGCGGUGAAAUGCGUAGAGAUCGGGAGGAACACCAGUGGCGAAGGCGGGUAACUGGACUGCAACUGACGCUGAGGCGCGAAAGUGUGGGGAGCAAACAGGAUUAGAUACCCUGGUAGUCCACACUGUAAACGAUGAAUGCUAGGUGUAAGAGGUAGCGACCCCUUUUGUGCCGGAGUCAACACAAUAAGCAUUCCGCCUGGGGAGUACGGCCGCAAGGUUGAAACUCAAAGGAAUUGACGGGG